ensembl:lncRNA
GCUCGACCAACCAUAGCAAAGCUAAGUUUGACGGAUUGCACUGUAGACCAAUGAUAGUGCUGGCACAGCUUGACUGACAGCCGCUGCAGCUGUGGUGGGGGAAGGGCCGCUUAAGUUGACGGAACCGCCAUCUUGAAAAGUGCCCUCGGACGAGCUACCUUUUUUCGCGCCUGUUAGAAUAAUUUUUAAUGCUUUAUUUUUUCAGGUAAAGUAGUACUGUUACCCCAAAUGCUUGGUGAAGUCUUCAUACAAAUGGCAAGAUAGGAUACACACCGGAUACCCACCCUUUUGCCUUUGUAUGCCGGUGUGCCAUUGUGUGUGGUCCACUCUGCUGUCUGCUGUCUGUAAAUCCAGCAAGUCUGGAAUGGGCCAAAUCCUACGAAUACUAGAACACACUUGUUUUUAACUUCACUCCAGCAUCUGGAGUAUAACCCUUACAGGUAAGCGGCUUAUCUUGAUAACCUUAUUAUUUGAGACGUAAGUGGGGAUUUUAAUAUAU